UUUAAAAAUAACUUUUUGAAGUUUUACAAAUUUGAAAAUUUAAUUUCAAGUGAAGUUUGAAAUUUUCAUUGCUAAACACCGUUUCUGAAGAAAAAAAAAGUAAAAUAAAAUUUAUGGCCAAACGAAAAGGAAAACUACUGAGGGUAUAUAUGUCUUUUUGUACUAGACAAUGUUAGGUUUUUCUGGUUCUUAUCUGCACCACAGAUUCUUUAACACAUAUUAAUAGAGACUAGUCAUCAGUUCUACAAAAGUGAAUAAGCUCAAAAUCCAAUCCACCUGCCUAAUUUUACUCUGUCCAUUUCCAAUAUUUCUUUCUUCUUCUUCUUCUUCUUCUUCUUCUUCUUCUUUUCUUCUUCUUCCUAUUUUAUAGUUAUGAGAGUUCACUGCUCUGCUUUUCCAUUUCUGCUAAUUAUUGUGAUGCUAUAUGUUAGUCAAUUAUCAAGCUGUAGAAAAAUCCAAGAAAUCACCCCAACAAGCACAGAGCAAAGAUUCAACACAAAGUUAGAUUCAAGAUUUUAUUGGCAUAUCUCUGCACCAGCUCCUAAAACAUCAAGAAAAGAAAUUAUUGAUCAAAGCUAUAGAGUUUCACAUCGAACCGUUCCCGGGGGACCAAACCCUCUUCACAAUUAAUUUUUGUUAUAACAGUAUUUUCUAGUCAUCUUGUCUGCACCUCGACUGAGCACAUGUAUCCGGUAAGUCUGGAAAGCAAUCGCCUAAUAUUUUUUUGUAUUUGUUGGGAUUUUAGCACUGGUCUUUCUAUAAUGUUCAUACACUUUCAUUGAUCGCUAGACCCGAUGCCGCUAUGCACAAUUAAUGUUACCUUCUUUCAUUCAUCUUUAUAUGUCUCCAAAUUCCAAAGGUUUUGUAGCUAGCUAGUAGCUAGUUUGAUAUACGUUUGUUCUUCUAGCUUUUCUUUUUAUCUUUAUAUAUUGUACAUGGAAAUCACAGAUGUAUACUAGGAAAAUUUACUAUAUAAGUAAUACAUUAGUACUACAAUUGAUUGUAUUACUACAGUUUUUUCUUUCUUUCUUUCUUUGUCCUGUUCUUUAAAGUUUUGAUAUAUGCAUACGAAAUGUACAAGAUUCUUAUUUUCUUCUUUUCUCUUGGUUGAGUAAACUCUGCCUGAGUUGCUGGUUUCCUACAUGUGAAGUUGAAGAGCUAUAUCAUUACUUAUAUUAAAUUCGAAAUUUUUAUAAUGCAAACAAAUAAGUAGAAGAUAAUAAUAUAAGGACAGAGAUAAGGAGGAAGUGAGAAUACAUGACAAAAACCAGUUUUUGAAUAGAGGUACCAACCAAUCAUAUUG
rnacentral:lncRNA from 1 species